rnacentral:rRNA from 1 species
UUAUUGGGCGUAAGAGCUCGUAGGCGGUUUGUCGCGUCUGCUGUGAAAACUGGAGGCUCAACCUCCAGCCUGCAGUGGGUACGGGCAGACUAGAGUGCGGUAGGGGAGAUUGGAAUUCCUGGUGUAGCGGUGGAAUGCGCAGAUAUCAGGAGGAACACCGAUGGCGAAGGCAGAUCUCUGGGCCGUAACUGACGCUGAGGAGCGAAAGCAUGGGGAGCGAACAGGAUUAGAUACCCUGGUAGUCCAUGCCGUAAACGUUGGGAACUAGAUGUGGGGGCCAUUCCACGGUCUCCGUGUCGCAGCUAACGCAUUAAGUUCCCCGCCUGGGGAGUACGGCCGCAAGGCUAAAACUCAAAGGAAUUGACGGGGGCCCGCACAAGCGGCGGAGCAUGCGGAUUAAUUCGAUGCAACGCGAAGAACCUUACCAAGGCUUGACAUAUACGAGAACGGGCCAGAAAUGGUCAACUCUUUGGACACUCGUAAACAGGUGGUGCAUGGUUGUCGUCAGCUCGUGUCGUGAGAUGUUGGGUUAAGUCCCGCAACGAGCGCAACCCUCGUUCUAUGUUGCCAGCACGUUAUGGUGGGAACUCAUAGGAGACUGCCGGGGUCAACUCGGAGGAAGGUGGGGAUGACGUCAAAUCAUCAUGCCCCUUAUGUCUUGGGCUUCACGCAUGCUACAAUGGCCGGUACAAAGGGCUGCAAUACCGUAGGGUGGAGCGAAUCCCAAAAAGCCGGUCUCAGUUCAGAUUGAGGUCUGCAACUCGACCUCAUGAAGUCGGAGUCGCUAGUAAUCGCAGAUCAGCAACGCUGCGGAGAAUACGUUCCCGGGUCGUGUACACACCGCCCGUCAAGUCAUGAAAGUCGGUAACACCCAACGCCAGUGCCUAACCCCUUGUGGGAGG